GUUGGCCCAACUGAUUGAACGUGCUUGCACGGACUUGACGUUGGUUUACCAGCGAGUGGCGGACGGGUGAGUAACACGUAGGUAACCUGCCCCAAAGCGGGGGAUAACAUUUGGAAACAGAUGCUAAUACCGCAUAACAAUUUGAAUCGCAUGAUUCAAAUUUAAAAGAUGGCUUCGGCUAUCACUCUGGGAUGGACCUGCGGCGCAUUAGCUUGUUGGUAGGGUAACGGCCUACCAAGGCUGUGAUGCGUAGCCGAGUUGAGAGACUGAUCGGCCACAAUGGAACUGAGACACGGUCCAUACUCCUACGGGAGGCAGCAGUAGGGAAUCUUCCACAAUGGGCGCAAGCCUGAUGGAGCAACACCGCGUGAGUGAAGAAGGGUUUCGGCUCGUAAAGCUCUGUUGUUAGAGAAGAACGUGCGUGGGAGCAACUGUUCACGCAGUGACGGUAUCUAACCAGAAAGUCACGGCUAACUACGUGCCAGCAGCCGCGGUAAUACGUAGGUGGCAAGCGUUAUCCGGAUUUAUUGGGCGUAAAGCGAGCGCAGGCGGUUUGAUAAGUCUGAUGUGAAAGCCUUUGGCUUAACCAAAGAAGUGCAUCGGAAACUGUCAGACUUGAGUGCAGAAGAGGAUAGUGGAACUCCAUGUGUAGCGGUGGAAUGCAUAGAUAUAUGGAAGAACACCAGUGGCGAAGGCGGCUGUCUGGUCUGCAACUGACGCUGAGGCU
rnacentral:rRNA from 1 species